rnacentral:rRNA from 1 species
GACGAACGCUGGCGGCGUGCCUAACACAUGCAAGUCGAGCGGGGAUUUAAGUGGAAGUUCUUCAGAAUGGAGAUUUAAAUUCUAGCGGCGGACGGGUGAGUAACGCGUGAACAAUCUGUCCCGGACAGGGGGAUAACACUUGGAAACAGGUGCUAAUACCGCAUAAGACCACGGCCUCGCAUGGGGCUGAGGUAAAAGGAGCAAUCCGGUUCGGGGUGAGUUCGCGUCCGAUUAGCUAGUUGGUGAGGUAACGGCCCACCAAGGCGACGAUCGGUAGCCGGCCUGAGAGGGUGAACGGCCACAUUGGAACUGAGAGACGGUCCAAACUCCUACGGGAGGCAGCAGUGGGGAAUAUUGGGCAAUGGGCGAAAGCCUGACCCAGCAACGCCGCGUGAGGGAAGAAGGUUUUCGGAUUGUAAACCUCUGUCCUAUGGGACGAAGGAAGUGACGGUACCAUAGGAGGAAGCCCCGGCUAACUACGUG